rnacentral:misc_RNA from 1 species
GAUGAAGAACGUAGCGAAAUGCGAUAAGUAGUGUGAAUUGCAGAAUUCAGUGAAUCAUCGAAUCUUUGAACGCACAUUGCGCCCUUUGGUAUUCCUUAGGGCAUGCCUGUUCGAGCGUCAUUUGAACCCUCAAGCUCAGCUUGGUGUUGGGUGUCUGUCCCCGCCUCCGCGGGGACUCGCCUCAAAAUCAUUGGCGGCCGGUACGUUGGCUUCGAGCGCAGCAGAAACGCGAACUCGAGGCCCGGCGGAUCGGCGACCAGAAGUCUCUUCUUCACAGUUUGACCUCGGAUCAGGUAGGGAUACCCGCUGAACUUAAGAAUAUCAAUAAGCGGAGGA